AGGGUUUGAUCAUGGCUCAGGACGAACGCUGGCGGUGCGCCUUAUGCAUGCAAGUUGAGCGAAGCUUUUUUGUAGUUUACUACGAAAAAUGACUGAGCGGCGAACGGGUGAGUAACGCGUGAGCAAUCUACCUUAGUUACUGGGAUAGCCCGAGGAAACUCGGAUUAAUACCGGAUAUUCUUAUUUUUUCACAUGAAGUUUUAAGGAAAGGUCAGCCGAACUAAGAUGAGCUCGCGUUCUAUCAGUUAGUUGGUGGGGUAAAAGCCUACCAAGGCUACGACGGAUAGCUGGUCUGAGAGGACGAUCAGCCACACUGGGACUGAGACACGGCCCAGACUCCUACGGGAGGCUGCAGCAGGGAAUAUUGUGCAAUGAGCGAAAGCUUGACACAGCGACACCGCGUGUGGGAUGACGGUUCUAGGAUUGUAAACCACUUUCAGGAGGGAAGAAAAUGACGGUACCUCCACAAGAAGACCCGGCCAACUAUGUGCCAGCCGCCGCGGUAAUUC
rnacentral:rRNA from 1 species